GAGUUUGAUCCUGGCUCAGGACGAACGCUGGCGGUGUGCUUCACACAUGCAAGUCGAACGAGGUAGCAAUACCUAGUGGCGGACGGGUGAGUAACGCGUGGGAAUCUGCCUUUAGAUGGGGGAUAACGAGCCGAAAGGUUCGCUAAUACCGCAUAUGCCGCAAGGUGAAAGGAGUAAUCCGUCUAAAGAUGAGCCCGCGUCCGAUUAGCUAGUUGGUGGGGUAAAGGCCUACCAAGGCGACGAUCGGUAGCUGGUCUGAGAGGAUGAUCAGCCACAAUGGGACUGAGACACGGCCCAUACUCCUACGGGAGGCAGCAGUGGGGAAUUUUACGCAAUGGGGGAAACCCUGACGUAGCGACACCGCGUGAGCGAAGAAGCCCCUUGGGGUGUAAAGCUCUGUCAGCUGGAACGAAACAAAUGACGGUACCAGCAGAGGAAGCAUCGGCUAACUACGUGCCAGCAGCCGCGGUA
rnacentral:rRNA from 1 species